AGAGACAGCAGUCGCCGCGGGAAUACAGAGGGUGCGAGCGUUAAUCGGAUUUACUGGGCGUAAAGCGUGCGUAGGCGGCUUCUUAAGUCGGAUGUGAAAUCCCUGAGCUUAACUUAGGAAUUGCAUUCGAUACUGGGAAGCUAGAGUAUGGGAGAGGAUGGUAGAAUUCCAGGUGUAGCGGUGAAAUGCGUAGAGAUCUGGAGGAAUACCGAUGGCGAAGGCAGCCAUCUGGCCUAAUACUGACGCUGAGGUACGAAAGCAUGGGGAGCAAACAGGAUUAGAUACCGCGUAGUCCCUGUCUCUUAUACA
rnacentral:rRNA from 1 species